UACGUAGGGUGCAAGCGUUGUCCGGAAUUAUUGGGCGUAAAGAGCUCGUAGGCGGUCUGUUGCGUCGGCUGUGAAAACCCGGGGCUCAACCCCGGGCCUGCAGCCGAUACGGGCAGACUAGAGUUCGGCAGGGGAGACUGGAAUUCCUGGUGUAGCGGUGAAAUGCGCAGAUAUCAGGAGGAACACCGGUGGCGAAGGCGGGUCUCUGGGCCGUACUGACGCUGAGGAGCGAAAGCGUGGGGAGCAACAGGAUUAGAACCUAC
rnacentral:rRNA from 1 species